UAGGGAAUCUUCGGCAAUGGACGGAAGUCUGACCGAGCAACGCCGCGUGAGUGAAGAAGGUUUUCGGAUCGUAAAGCUCUGUUGUUAGAGAAGAACGUUGGUAGGAGUGGAAAAUCUACCAAGUGACGGUAACUAACCAGAAAGGGACGGCUAACUACGUGCCAGCAGCCGCGGUAAUACGUAGGUCCCGAGCGUUGUCCGGAUUUAUUGGGCGUAAAGCGAGCGUAGGCGGUUCUUUAAGUCUGAAGUUAAAGGCAGUGGCUUAACCAUUGUACGCUUUGGAAACUGGAGGACUUGAGUGCAGAAGGGGAGAGUGGAAUUCCAUGUGUAGCGGUGAAAUGCGUAGAUAUAUGGAGGAACACCGGUGGCGAAAGCGGCUCUCUGGUCUGUAACUGACGCUGAGGCUCGAAAGCGUGGGGAGCAAACAGG
rnacentral:rRNA from 1 species